GCAGUCGAGCGGACCUCCUUCGGAGGUCAGCGGCGGACGGGUGAGUAACACGUGGGCAACCUGCCUGUAAGACUGGGAUAACUCCGGGAAACCGGAGCUAAUACCGGAUAACCUUUUGAACCGCAUGGUUCAAAACUGAAAGACGGUUAUGCUGUCACUUACAGAUGGGCCCGCGGCGCAUUAGCUAGUUGGUGAGGUAAUGGCUCACCAAGGCGACGAUGCGUAGCCGACCUGAGAGGGUGAUCGGCCACACUGGGACUGAGACACGGCCCAGACUCCUACGGGAGGCAGCAGUAGGGAAUCUUCCGCAAUGGACGAAAGUCUGACGGAGCAACGCCGCGUGAGUGAUGAAGGUUUUCGGAUCGUAAAGCUCUGUUGUCAGGGAAGAACAAGUGCGGGAGUCACUGCCCGUGCCUUGACGGUACCUGACCAGAAAGCCGCGGCUAACUACGUGCCAGCAGCCGCGGUAAUACGUAGGUGGCAAGCGUUGUCCGGAAUUAUUGGGCGUAAAGCGCGCGCAGGCGGUCUUUUAAGUCUGAUGUGAAAGCCCCCGGCUCAACCGGGGGAGGGUCAUUGGAAA
rnacentral:rRNA from 1 species